rnacentral:lncRNA from 1 species
AUUAAACAGCGUGGACUCGCCGAGUCCACUCUUGGACUCGCCGAGUCCGGACGCGAACCCGCGUCCAAAUCCGCGAUCAUACUCGGCGAGUCUAGGCUCCAACUCGCCGAGUCUCCUCACAAAUUACCAAAAUAAAUAAAUGAAUAAUACCUGGGAAUCCUGGCUGUUACAAUUCUCCCCCACUAGAACUAGACUUCGCCCUCGAAGUCUCGCUCUGCAAAUAACUCCGGAUGCUGCUCACGCAUCUCACACUCCGGUUCCCAAGUCAUCUCGGACCCCCCCUCCGAUGUUGCCUUUGAACCAAAACAAAGGGCACCUCCUUGUUCCGCAGAACCUUGAUCUUUCGAUCCACAAUCGCAACUGGUCUAUCCGCGUAGUUCAGGCUCGCAUCCACCUGAAUGUCCUCUAACGGCACUACCGCCGACUCGUCGGCUGUACACUUCCUCAACUGAGACACAUGGAAGGUAUUAUGAAUCCGUUCCAAUUCCGCGGGUAGCUCCAAGCGAUAUGCUACCCUGUCCACCCUCGCGAUCACCCGAAAAGGACUGAUAUAUCGGGGCCCCAACUUGCCCCUCUUCCUGAAUCGGAUCACUCCUUUCCAAGGAGAUACUUUCAGGAGUACAAGGUCACCGACCAAAAAUUCGAGUUCAGACCGGCGCCUGUCCGCCUAACUCUUCUGGCGACUCUGAUCGGUCAACAACCUCUGUCUGACCUACUGUAUCUGCCCUGACAUCUGAAGCACGAUCUCUGUACUUCCCAUCACACGUUGCCCUAACUCUUCCCAGCAAAUGGGGUCCAAUACCCCCUCCCCAACAACAACUCAAAGGGCGGCAUACUGAUGCACUAAUGAUGGCUGUUGUUGUAGGAAACUCUGUCAAGGGCAAAUACGGGCCUCAAUUUCCUCCCGAAAUCUAAUACACAUGCCCGAAGCAUAUCCUCGAGCAUCUGAAUCGUUCGCUCGCUCUGAAGUGUCCACAGACAUCACCAUGGUAAACUCUAGCUCAUUUCUCAUAUUCCUCUUCGAUACCGAGCACCAGGUCCGCUUUUGGCCCCACAGCUGAACCUCCAAAGGUCACACAUAACUUGAUCCAAAACAUCUCACUAACUUCCUCCCCGUGACCACUAUCACGGCCCAGUGACACGCAAGUCACGAAAUUCCCUAUUCCUCAUAAAUAAAUACAAUCCAAUCGAAGAUCUACUUAGCUUUAACCUCUGGCGUCUGCUGUGCAUAUUCUCCCAUGCCUCGUUGAUCCUCCCGACAAAGACAGAGACCCAGUCUCGCCCCGGUUUUAACCACCAGGCUCCAAAAACUCAACACUAGGGCUACUCAAGCCUAAAUCUCUUCUGCAUCAUGCACUUAUCGGAUAACACUCCAUCAACACACUCUUUUGUCAUCUAGUGGGUACUAUGGCUUCCCACAAUAUUACGACAGCCUCUGACUUGUGAGUACUACGGCUCCUCGUAGCUUCACAACACCCUCUGACUGGCAAAUACUACGGCUCCCCGUCGUAUCACGACUCUCUCUCUUUCUGACUUGUGAGUACUACGGCUCCUCGUAGCUUCACAACACCCUCUGACUGGCAAAUACUACGGCUCCCCGUCGUAUCACGACUCUCUCUCUUUCUGACUUGUGAGUACUACGGCUCCCCGUAGCAUCACAACAUCCUCUGACUGGCGAUUAUUAUGGCUCCCCGUAGCAUCACUACUCUCUCUCUCUCUUUGUCUUGUGAGUACUACGGGUCCCUGUAGCAUCACAACACCCUCUGACUGGCGAAUACUACGGCUCCCCGUAGCAUCACUCAGGUCAUCGAAGGUGACAUCUCCUCUAUCGACUGAUUGCUCAACUCAGACCGAAAUUCUCCCCUCCCUCUAACUCCUUACCAAAAAUACUCUGAUAGGCUCUCAACCUCCCUCUCAAAGGAUGCCUCUUCGAACUCAAUCAUGGCCCACAUGCCUAAAACCCGUAGCGUCCAAUCUCUACCUCAUCAAUCGUGACCGGAUAACCGGAGAACCUCAAGCAUCAUUCACUACGAACCAUGGUACUCAUCCCAUGACAUCUCUUCUCAAUAUGCUCCGGUGUAUGGUACCCGAACCAUAGCAUCACUCCUCCAUCUGUUCCGAUGUAUGGUACUCGAACCAUAACAUCACUCCUCAAUACGCUUCGAUGUAUGGUACUCGAACCAUAACAUCACUCCUCAAUCCGCUCCGAUGUAUGGUGCUCGAACCAUAACAUCGCUCCUCAAUCUGCUCAUUAGAAUCUUCAGAAUACCCCCUGUAUCAAGUAUGGGUCCACUGCUUUCAGUAGUACGGGCCCAUACUACCUGCCACAUCUACCCAUACUUUCCACACGGACUAUCCCAGAGCUCCUAAGUAGCUGCUCGACCUUCUCGUUCACCAAUUCCGUCGCGCGCUCGCUCCCCAGCGAAAUUCUCUACUCUGCCAGCGCACUCAUCUGGCUAAGGUUACUCCCUAGGCUCUUCCUAGAUUCCCACACUUCUCUGCCAUCAGCUGCUGAAGAGCUCCUAAUGAUGCCAGCCAUCUACCUCCUGAAUAUCGUCAUAUUCACUUGGUAGCUGACUCCCAUCAUCGAGAGUUCCACAAAGCACGAAGCAAGCAGCAUUCGAGCAUCGAAGAAUAUAUAUGACUCACUCUGGGUGAUAACUCCGCUUGCUCUGCUCAUCCUCGAAAGUACCACCGAACUCUACAACUCUUCCCCUCGCGGGUUCUAACUAUUCAUUCUCUAAGUACCACGGUACUUAUCUAGGUAUCUCUCCUAGAUUUCUACUCAAAUCCCCUAAAGGAUUCCAACUAAAUAUUCUCACUCAUCACAUACUCAAAAGCACAUCGCAUAUAACAGCAAUCCCUAGGCUAAGGCAUCACAAAUCAGGCCACUCUAGUCCUAAGAUAUGAAAUACCUAGCCUGUCUCUAGCAUGCAAUAAUAUCUCAUAAAGUGCAUCAUAAAUAUCUCAUAACACAAAAGUAAGGGUAUUUUGGGAAAUCACCGUUCGGGCUCUGGCUGAUUGUACACACUGCUCUUUCUCGCUUUCUCUUUGAACUCUUAUUCGCUUUAGAAAAUUAUUUCUUUGAAAAAUUUUCUUACUUCCUCAGUUUGAGUCCAGAUUUACCCGAAGGCGCAUCCGAAUCCCUCAAACCAAGGCUCUGAUACUAACUUGUAACACCGAAAAUUUCAAAACAAUUUUUCAUUUAAAAUAAUCGUUCAAUUCUUAAAAACACUUUGUUUUAAGUCUCAUUCAUGAUCGUAUUACAAAACAUAACUCCAUUUCCACUUGCAUGAUAAACCAGGAUCCUCAAAACAUGACUCAUUCUCUGGUGUGUACAAUCGAGCCGGUGCCGUCUCGUGAUACUGUAAUAACCUGAAACACACAACACAAAACACUGUAAGCACGAAGCUUAGUGAGUUCCCCAAACUACCGCAUACAACACAUACGCCACUCGAGGCUACAGUACGACCCUCCGGUCGGUGUGUCUCAGCGGGACCCUCCAGUCCCGUAGCUCGUUGGACCCUCUAGUCCGGUCAUAGCUCGUUGGGCCCUCUGGCCCGGUCUGAAUCGUUGGAACCUCUGGUCCAGUGUAUAAACUCCGCAUAGCAUAAAUCACAAAGACAUAAUGCAUAGCAUGUCACAUACAAUAGGAUAACAUAAUACUCAAUGUAAGCACAUACGACCUUCCGGUCACACAAUACUACCACUCAAGGUAACGUAGAGUGAGAAGACUCACCUCGCGUAUCUCGAUAACUCGCAAAUCCCGGAAAUCACUCGCGCUCGAUCCUCCGAGCUAUAAUCCUCCUAUAACACCAUAGAUCUCUAAUUAACACUUUCUCAACUAAGGUUGACUACCCCUAUCAAGUCAACACUGGUCAACUCUGGUCAACGGUCAACGGUUGACCUGACUCACCGAGUCUAUCGUGGACUCGCCAAGUCCCUACGGGAACCCGAUCCCUCUGAAUCUCUUCCGACUCACCGAGUCACUCACCUGACUCGGUUACUCAACCCCUGGUUCGUAAUCACUGAACAACCCGCACCAACUCGCCGAGUCUGGGAAUGGACUCGGCGAGUGCAUUCCAUGCACAACCCCAAACGACCUUCUGAGGUCAGAUCCGCUUCACUAACUCAUAGAUCCAGUCUCCUUAAGCUUAUUGACCACGUAAAGUUCAAGUCUUGGUGCUCAUUAAGCACCGAAUAGCUCAUGAAUGGUGUUUUAGCCUCAAAUACAUUGAUCCCAAGCCAAAACCUCCAUGGAUGCAUAUAAAGCUUUGGUAAAGAGGUGCUCUGGACCUCUAUGGGUCCAGAUCCAGGACCUUAACUCGCUAAGGGACCAUGAGGACACUAGAUCUAGCCACAAAUGGGUUCAAAAGCCCUAAAUCUACAUGAACAUCACAAUAACAGAGAAUGAUUCGNNNNNNNNNNNNNNNNNNNNNNNNNNNNNNNNNNNNNNNNNNNNNNNNNNNNNNNNNNNNNNNNNNNNNNNNNNNNNNNNNNNNNNNNNNNNNNNNNNNNNNNNNNNNNNNNNNNNNNNNNNNNNNNNNCAAGUCUUGAUGCUCAUCAAGCAUUGAAUAGCUCAUGAAUGGUGUUUUAGCCUCAAAUACAUUGAUCCCAAGCCAAAACCUCCAUGGAUGCAUAUAAAGCUUUGGUAAAGAGGUGCUCUGGCCCUCUAUGGGUCCAGAUCAAGGACCUUAACUCGCUAAGGGACCAUGAGGACACUAGAUCUAGCCACAAAUGGGUUCAAAAGCCCUAAAUCUACCAGAACAUCACAAUAACAGAGAAUGAUUCGAGAUCGUACCUCAGUUGUGAUGUUCUGGACCUCAAAUCUUCAAGAGUCCACCCCUCUCUUGCUUCCUCUUAGUUAGAUCUCCUCUUUCCUUGCUAGACAACAACUCUAAGAUCAAUAAUGGCUCCUUCCCUCACUUGAAUCACUCAAUUGCUCUAGGGUUUCACUCUGGGGACUGAUGAGUGCAAAUGACGGCCAUAAGGCCCUUUAAAUAUGCCUCAAACCCGAGAAAUUAGGGUUUCAUUAAACAGCGUGGACUCGCCGAGUCCACUCUUGGACUCGCCGAGUCCGGACGUGAACCCGCGUCCAAAUCCGCGAUCAUACUCGGCGAGUCUAGGCUCCAACUCGCCGAGUCUCCUCACAAAUUACCAAAAUAAAUAAAUGAAUAAUACCUGGGAAUCCGGGCUGUUACACGACAUAUCGACAGAAAAUAUCACUUUAUUAGACAUCGAGUAGAAGAAGGACAACUCGUGGUGAAGAGGAUAUCAUCAGAAGAUAACCCAGUAGAUCCGCUUACGUAGGGACUGAGCUGGGUUAAGCACUUGCAGCAUGCUAGGAGUAUUGGGCUGAAGGAUGAUAUUAGUAUAGAUUAGACAGUAUUAGAAAUGUGUAAUAGAUAAAUGUAAUUAACAUUUGAUGAUUAAAUAGAGGAGUAUUAUUUAUGAGUAAUGUUACUG